GAUGCCACCUAAUAAAACAUAUAGGUGGCGCUGCAUAUAGGCAAGUUACAUGUGUUAUUGUUAUGAAAUCUAUUUAUAGCCACAGAUCUGUUUACGAGUUCCAAUCAUUUAACGUUAUAAUAACAUCAUUUGUGGUACAUUAUAUGUAUCAAAAUCACGAGUUUUUAAUAGUGCUUUAACAUUUAAUCAUUGUGAAAGAAAAGGGAAAGAAAACAUAAUUAACCUAUAAUUCGAAUAUACGUACAGCCACGUGAAUGGAAAUUCAAAUUCGUAGGCGUUACGUUUUGGCUGGCGGUCUGGAAUUGGGAUGCAUUGAUAAAGUGAAUAUUUUGGAUUUUCUUGAACAAAAAGGUAGUUCAAGUGUUGGACAUGCUCUCAAAGGUCGGAGGGACAGAAACACGUGAUAAUGUAAAAAGAAACAUGGGGAAUGAAAAUGAUAUCACAAGCACUAUUGGACAUUAACAUAUCCUCCGGACAGACGAGGGGUCAUGAGAGAAGGUCAUAUAUAAAAGCGUCACACCUCCAGAUUCGUGCUAAUUCUCAUGGAUAUUUAAAAGUAUAACUUUGUGAAGUAACUAAAAGGAAGUAAUUUAUACCAUAGUGACAAUUAUCAAAAGGAGGCAAAUAUGCAAAAUGGCAGAAAAUGUUUUAGUAAUGCUGUAGAAAUAUAGUUAAAAUACUGAAAAUCUGUCAUUAAUAGUUUGGAACAUUAUUAUCCGAAUCUUUAACUUUUUCUUAA